UCGCUUCUAGGCCCUUGGCUAAGAUCAAGUGUUGUACC
rnacentral:snRNA from 1 species